AGCAGCCGCGGUAAUUCCAGCUCCAAUAGCGUAUAUUAAAGUUGCUGCAGUUAAAAAGCUCGUAGUUGAAUUUCGGGACUAAUAUGUCGGUCAUGCCUCGGUACGUACUGGUAUUUUUGGUUUCUCCCUUCUGGCGAACCUUGAUGUCAUUAAUUUGGUGUCUUGGGAAAUCAGGACUGUUACUUUAGAAAAAUUGAGUUGUUUAAAGCAGGCUCACG
rnacentral:rRNA from 1 species